rnacentral:rRNA from 1 species
GAUAUUGCGCAAUGGGGGCAACCCUGACGCAGCAACGCCGCGUGAAGGAUGAAGGUUUUCGGAUUGUAAACUUCUUUUAUCAGGGACGAAGCUUGACGGUACCUGAUGAAUAAGCUCCGGCUAACUACGUGCCAGCAGCCGCGGUAAUACGUAGAGAGCAAGCGUUGUCCGGAUUUACUGGGUGUAAAGGGUGCGUAGGCGGCCGGGUAAGUCCGAUGUGAAAUCUAUGGGCUCAACCCAUAAACUGCAUUUGAAACUACUCGGCUUGAGUGAAGUAGAGGCAGGCGGAAUUCCCUGUGUAGCGGUGAAAUGCGUAGAGAUAGGGAGGAACACCAGUGGCGAAGGCGGCCUGCUGGGCUUUAACUGACGCUGAGGCACGAAAGCGUGGGUAGCAAACAGG